rnacentral:ncRNA from 1 species
AACACCGUGAGGUCUUGUGAGGAGGAAGCCGCUAGCAAGACUACGAGCUGACGAACAGAAACAUCCUAUAAGGCUUAGCCUGGAGGGGCACCGAAACGGGGAGGUCUAAGGGUAGAGUCAAUGGUGUAGCUGUGCAGUGAAAGGUCACAUU